GUCGUCCUGGUCCGCGGCGCCCGAGGGGGAGGCGGCAGGCGCCGGGAGCCGCGCGAGGAGCUGCCGCGCCGCGCCAUGGAGCCUGAGUGAGCGCGGCGCGGGCCCGCCGGCCCCGGACAACAUGGAGGCGGCGCCGCCCCGGCCGCCGCCGCCGCCGCCGCUGCUGCUGCUCGCGCUGUGCUGCAGCCUGGCCCCCGCCGCGGCCUCGCCGCUGCUGCUGUUUGCCAACCGCCGGGAUGUGCGGCUGGUGGACGCUGGCGGAGUCAAGCUGGAGUCCACCGUCGUGGUCAGCGGCCUGGAGGACGCGGCCGCGGUGGACUUCCAGUUCUCCAAGGGGACGGUGUACUGGACGGACGUGAGCGAAGAGGCCAUCAAGCAGACCUACCUGAACCAGACGGGGGCCGCCGUGCAGAACGUGGUCAUCUCCGGCCUGGUGUCGCCCGACGGCCUGGCCUGCGACUGGGUCGGCAAGAAGCUGUACUGGACGGACUCGGAGACCAACCGCAUCGAGGUGGCCAACCUCAACGGGACGUCCCGGAAGGUCCUCUUCUGGCAGGACCUUGACCAGCCUCGGGCCAUCGCCUUGGACCCCGCUCACGGGUACAUGUACUGGACAGACUGGGGUGAGACACCCCGAAUUGAGCGGGCGGGGAUGGACGGCAGCACCCGGAAAGUCAUUGUGGACUCGGACAUCUACUGGCCCAACGGGCUGACCAUUGACCUGGAGGAGCAGAAGCUGUACUGGGCCGACGCCAAGCUCAGCUUCAUCCACCGGGCCAACCUGGACGGCUCGUUCCGGCAGAAGGUGGUGGAGGGCAGCCUGACGCACCCCUUUGCCCUGACGCUCUCGGGGGACACGCUGUACUGGACGGACUGGCAGACCCGCUCCAUCCACGCCUGCAACAAGAGGACCGGGGAGAAGCGCAAGGAGAUCCUCCGUGCUCUCUACUCGCCCAUGGACAUCCAAGUGCUCAGCCCCGAGCGGCAGCCCUACAUCCACACGCAGUGUGAGGAGGACAACGGGGGCUGCUCCCACCUCUGCCUGCUGUCCCCGCGGGAGCCUUUCUACACGUGCGCCUGCCCCACCGGCGUGCAGCUGCAGGACAACGGCAAGACGUGCAAGGCAGGGGCCGAGGAGGUGCUGCUGCUGGCGCGGCGGACGGACCUGCGGAGGAUCUCGCUGGACACGCCGGACUUCACCGACAUCGUCCUGCAGGUCGAUGAUAUCCGGCACGCCAUCGCCAUCGACUACGACCCGCUGGAGGGCUACGUCUACUGGACGGACGAUGAGGUGCGGGCCAUCUGCAGGGCGCACCUGGACGGGUCGGGGGCGCAGACGCUGGUCAACACCGAGAUCAACGACCCCGAUGGCAUCGCGGUCGACUGGGUGGCCCGAAACCUCUACUGGACGGACACGGGCACGGACCGCAUCGAGGUGACGCGCCUCAACGGCACCUCCCGCAAGAUCCUGGUGGCCGAGGACCUGGACGAGCCCCGCGCCAUCGCGCUGCACCCGAUGAUGGGCCUCAUGUACUGGACAGACUGGGGGGAAAACCCCAAAAUUGAGUGUGCCAACCUCGACGGGCAGGAGCGGCGCAUCCUGGUGAACACGUCCCUCGGCUGGCCCAACGGCUUGGCCCUGGACCUGCAAGAGGGGAAGCUCUACUGGGGAGACGCCAAGACGGACAAAAUUGAGGUGAUCAACGUCGACGGGACAAAGAGGCGGAUGCUCCUGGAGGACAAGCUCCCGCACAUUUUCGGGUUCACGCUGCUGGGGGACUUCAUCUACUGGACCGACUGGCAGCGGCGGAGCAUCGAGCGUGUGCACAAGGUCAAGGCCAGCCGGGACGUCAUCAUCGACCAGCUGCCUGACCUGAUGGGGCUCAAGGCCGUGAACGUGGCCAAGGUCGUCGGGACCAACCCGUGUGCGGACCAGAACGGGGGCUGCAGCCACCUGUGCUUCUUCACCCCCCGAGCCACCAAGUGCGGCUGCCCCAUCGGCCUGGAGCUGCUGAGCGACAUGAAGACCUGCAUCGUCCCCGAGGCCUUCCUCGUGUUCACCAGCAGGGCCACCAUCCACAGGAUCUCCCUGGAGACCAACAACAACGACGUGGCCAUCCCGCUCACGGGCGUCAAGGAGGCCUCCGCGCUGGACUUCGACGUGUCCAACAAUCACAUCUACUGGACGGACGUCAGCCUGAAGACCAUCAGCCGCGCCUUCCUGAACGGGAGCUCGGUGGAGCACGUGAUCGAGUUCGGCCUUGACUACCCGGAAGGCAUGGCCGUCGACUGGAUGGGCAAGAACCUCUACUGGGCGGACACCGGGACCAACAGGAUCGAAGUGGCCCGGCUGGACGGGCAGUUCCGGCAGGUCCUGGUGUGGAGGGACUUGGACAACCCGAGGUCGCUGGCCCUGGACCCCACCAAGGGCUACAUCUACUGGACUGAGUGGGGUGGCAAGCCACGGAUCGUGCGGGCCUUCAUGGACGGGACCAACUGCAUGACGCUGGUGGACAAGGUGGGCCGGGCCAAUGACCUCACCAUCGACUACGCGGACCAGCGUCUCUACUGGACUGACCUGGACACCAACAUGAUCGAGUCAUCCAACAUGCUGGGUCAGGAUAGGAUCGUGAUUGCCGAUGACCUCCCACACCCCUUCGGCCUGACCCAGUACAGCGAUUACAUCUACUGGACGGACUGGAACCUGCACAGCAUCGAGCGGGCCGACAAGACCAGCGGCCGGAACCGCACCCUCAUCCAGGGCCACCUGGACUUCGUCAUGGACAUCCUGGUGUUCCACUCCUCCCGCCAGGACGGCCUCAACGACUGCGUGCACGGCAAUGGGCAGUGUGGGCAGCUGUGCCUGGCCGUCCCCGGCGGCCACCGCUGCAGCUGUGCCUCCCACUACACCCUGGACCCCAGCAGCCGCAACUGUAGCCCGCCCAGCACCUUCUUGCUGUUCAGCCAGAAAAAUGCCAUCAGCCGGAUGAUCCCGGACGACCAGCACAGCCCAGACCUCAUCCUGCCGCUGCACGGGCUGAGGAACGUCAAGGCCAUUGAUUACGACCCACUGGACAAGUUCAUCUACUGGGUGGAUGGACGCCAGAACAUCAAGCGAGCCCGGGAUGAUGGGACCCAGCCCUUCAUUCUGACCACUCCGAGCCCAAACCAAAGCCCAGACAGGCAGCCCCACGACCUCAGCAUCGACGUCUACAGCCGGACGCUGUUCUGGACGUGCGAGGCCACCAACACCAUCAACGUGCACAGGCUGGACGGGGACGCCAUGGGCGUGGUGCUCCGUGGAGACCGGGACAAGCCGCGGGCCAUCGUCGUCAACGCCGAGCGAGGGUACCUGUACUUCACCAACAUGCAGGACCGAACAGCCAAGAUCGAGCGCGCGGCCCUGGACGGCACCGAGCGUGAGGUCCUCUUCACCACGGGCCUCAUCCGCCCGGUGGCCCUCGUGGUGGACAACACGCUGGGCAAACUCUUCUGGGUGGACGCGGACCUGAAGCGCAUCGAAAGCUGUGACCUGUCAGGGGCCAACCGCCUGACCCUGGAGGAUGACAACAUCGCACAGCCCGUGGGCCUGACCGUGCUGGGCAGGCAUCUCUACUGGAUUGACCGCCAGCAGCAGAUGAUCGAGCGCGUGGAGAAGACCACUGGCGACAAGAGGACACGAGUCCAGGGCCGUGUCGCCCACCUGACCGGCAUCCACGCCGUGGAGGACAUCAGCCUGGAGGAGUUCUCGGCCCACCCAUGUGCCCGGGACAACGGCGGCUGCUCCCACAUCUGCAUUGCCAAGGGUGACGGGACACCACGGUGCUCAUGCCCAGUCCACCUCGUGCUCCUGCAGAACCUGCUGACCUGUGGUGAGCCUCCCACGUGCUCCCCGGACCAGUUCACCUGUGCAACGGGGGACAUCGACUGCAUCCCCGCGGCCUGGCGCUGCGACGGCUUCCCGGAGUGUGAUGACCAGAGCGACGAGGAGGGCUGCCCCGUGUGCUCCGACGCCCAGUUCCCCUGCGCGCGGGGCCAGUGCGUGGACCUGAGACUGCGCUGUGAUGGUGAGGCUGACUGUCAGGACCGCUCAGAUGAGGCAGACUGUGAUGCCCUCUGCCUGCCCAACCAGUUCCGCUGCGCCAGUGGCCAGUGCAUCCUCAUCAAGCAGCAGUGUGACUCCUUCCCCGACUGCAUCGACGGCUCCGACGAGCUCAUGUGUGAUAUCACCAAGCCGCCCUUGGACGAAGGCCCGGCCCACAGCAGUGCCAUCGGGCCCGUCAUCGGCAUCAUCCUCUCGCUCUUCGUCAUGGGCGGGGUCUACUUUGUUUGCCAGCGUGUGGUGUGUCAGCGCUACACCGGGGCCAACGGGCCCUUCCCGCACGAGUACGUCAGUGGGACGCCUCACGUGCCCCUCAAUUUCAUAGCCCCGGGUGCCGCACAACACGGUCCCUUCACAGGCAUCUCAUGCGGCAAGUCCAUGAUGAGCUCCGUGAGCCUGAUGGGGGGCCGGGGCGGGGUGCCCCUCUACGACCGGAACCACGUCACCGGGGCCUCGUCCAGCAGCUCCUCCAGCACCAAGGCCACGCUGUACCCGCCGCGACACUGUUUCAGUUGAGAAAAGGGCACGCCUUGUUCAUCGGGGAUGAUCUGGGAACCACACAAAAGUCUCGAACGGAAGUUCCACCCAUCUUCCCACCUCCUUGGUUGCUAGCAGGCAUUUCACUGUCCGAGCGCAGUCUCUGUUCUGCACGCUGUCUACAUGGGGUGCUCAGGGGUCCCUGUGCAAGCCCCCCUCAGCAUCCCCACCAGGAACACUCUGUUUUCCAACCAAGUUCUUGCUGGUUCCCAGAAAAGAGCUGGGUUGUUUUCUAAAGGGCAGGCCCUCAUGGGGUGACUUUUGUGGCUGAAAUGCUCCUUGGAGCUGCGGGCAGCCCCAGUGGGGUGAGGGGCUGGCUCUCACCAAUUCACACCUGGUAGCAGAACAACUGUACAGUGUCCGAGUCCCGCUGGGGGGUCCCUCGUGGGAACCCUCUCCCUGAGGUUGGCUGGGGUACCCUCUUUUCCAAGAGCACAGCUCCAGGGUGACUGGCGAGCUUGAGGCACGCAGGUGAGCCUGUGUGUAUAUAAACAUCGGAGUCUGAGGGGUCUGUUUUUAAUCCUUUGAAACCUGACUCCCUGUGACUGGAUGUUCCACGGUGAGGGCAGCCCCUGGAGCUUUCUCUGGGGUCUCCAGCAAGCCCACCUGCCAGGGCCAGGCCUUCCUGCCCCUCUGGGUGUCCCGCACGUCCAGGGUGUUGCCUCCUCCUUAUCGGCCCUGAGCUUGGCAGGCCUGGAAGGGGAGGAGGGGGCAGCAGAAGCUGUUAUCUGGGGUUCGCAGGACGGGAACUGAGUCUCCUGGAGGCUCCAGGACCCGACUGCGUUUCGGGGCAGAGGCAGGUAGGACCCAGAAGCCUGGAGUUUAAAAAUACCAACCACCACUCCUCUCGUCCUCCCUGCUGACUCUCACAUGCCCCACGGAACCAGCCGGAGGCACCGGAGGCACCGGGAACCCCUGUGAGGCCGAGCUUGCCUCAGGAAGCAGCCCCUUGGCCUCCCGUGCAGACACCGGAGGCUCAGGAGACUGCCUUUUCUGUCCCAGGCUCUGCUGGGAGCUGGGGAUCUUAUUAGGCAGCAAGAGGUGACAUGAACAGCCAGCUGGGUUUUUUUGUUGCUGUUGUUAGUCCUCACUUUCAGAGAAUGGAAGGGAGGGAGCGAGGGGAGGGGGGAGAGGGAGAGAGAAACAUCAACCCGGGAGAGACUCAUCGACCAGUUGCCUCUCACACACGCCCCAAUCGGGUGGGGAGUGAACCCGCAACCCAGGUACGUUCCCUUGACUGACAGUCGAACCCGUGACCCUUCGGUGCGUGGGCCAACACUCUAACCACUGACACAUAUUGGCCAGGGCCCAACCAUUGUUGUUUUUUAUAUAACUUAUGUACCAUACAACUCACCCACUUAAGCUGUACAGUUCAGUGGUUUUUAGUAUAUUCAUAGAUAUGUGCAACCAUCGCCAUGGUUCAUUUUAGAACAUUUUCAUCACCCCAAAAAGAAACCACAUGGAGCCAGCUAUUUUUAAAGUAACGACACGAUUUUGCAUCAGUAACGCAUGUUCAUGGUACAGAAUUCAAAAGGCACAAUAGAAUGCGCAGGGAAGGGGGCCCCUCCCAACAUGAGCAGGGACCCCCUUAGAGCAACAUUCCAUGGCAAGAUUCUUGUGUGUGCUUCCUGAGUAAUGUUACAUCAGCAAGUACACAAGAGUAUGGACUUUAUUUUCCAAAAAAAGAGAGUGAUUUUUUUACCUUUCAAAAAAAGGUUUGUAUUGAUUUUUAGAGAGAGAGGCACAGAGAAAUAGACACAUCAAUGAGAGAGAAACGUUGUUGAUCAGCUGCCUCCUGCAUGCCCCCUCCAGGGGAUCAAGCCCAUGCCCUGACCAGGAAUUGAACUGGCAACCUCUUGCUUCCUGGGUCAGUGCUCAACCACUGAGCCACCAGCUGGGCUUGUUAUUUUGAGGGCAGGGGAAGGGUACUUCUUGUGGUGACUCACCACGUGUCAGGACAGACCCUGACCGGGGAAGCAGGUCUUCUCAGCCCCGUUUUAGAGAUGAGGAAACCAUGGCCCAAACAGAUCCUGAACCCACCGCCGUCCCCCGCCACGGACCCCUCCAUGUACAACGUGGACGUAUUCUACUCUUCGAACAUUCCCGCCCCCGCCAGGCCCUACAGGCCCUAUAUCAUCCGUGG